UACGAAGGGGGCAAGCGUUGUUCGGAAUUACUGGGCGUAAAGGGCGCGUAGGCGGCUUAUCAAGUCAGGCGUGAAAUUCCCGGGCUCAACCUGGGGGCUGCGCUUGAUACUGAUGAGCUUGAAUGCGGGAGAGGAUAGUGGAAUUCCCAGUGUAGAGGUGAAAUUCGUAGAGAUGUGGAGGAACACCGAUGGCGAAGGCAGCCUUCUGGGCCAACACUGACGCUCAUGCACGAAAGCGUGGGGAGCAAACAGG
rnacentral:rRNA from 1 species